UCAGGCUCUGGACAAGAUCCGGGGCGCAGUUUGUGGGUGAGCUGGGAGCUGCGGGAGGGAACCUGACCGGUUUCCUGUGCCGGGAGCAGUAGGGCAGGUGGAGGCGACUCUCUCUCGCUGCCACAGCGAGGCGGCUCAGGGCGCUGAGUAGCAAUGGGAGCAGGAAGCUCGGGGGUGGAGGAAAGGACAUAACCUGUUUCCGAGCUGAGCGCCAAGGAGGGUUAAGGCAACGAGACCCCCUCCCUCCUCCUCCUCCUCUUGCUUGGUUUUCUGAUUCCUCAAAACCCGGGAGAGCAACUCCGUCCAUUCAGCAUGGACGGUGUGAGCAGAGAAUGGAGGGAGGUGCGAGUUCAGCAGGAGGUGCAGCGACUGAAAGGCUGUGAGGAGAUGUAAUACAUGGUGAUUUACUGUCCAGGAUAUGGAUACCAUUAGAGAUUAGUGUUCUGCCUUCCAUGGUCGGAAUAUUACGAGGACCCAACAUACGUGGCAGAAAAUUACGGAUGUUGUGGGCUUGGAUUCAAAACUUCUCGCAUUGAGGAUAAAGUCGACAAACAACUUCAGACUGGAGAAGCGUGGCCAAGAUCCCGUGUCAUCCCGGCAAACCAGGAUGAUGAUGAUGAAAAACGUGCUUGGCUAGAUGACUGCAGCUUGUCAAGGUCUCCAGAACCUAACAUCAUCUUGGAUAAAGAAGUUGGAUUGAUCUGCAUCUAAUUCUCACACUUAUAAAUCAUUCCCACCAUCACUGGCACAACUGGCUGAAUCCUGUAUGAUCUCCACAUUUCCCCGCGCAAGGCUUUUUCCACAGCAUCUUGCAAACCCGCAACUUCUACCAUCUGCAAGGAAUUGAAGAAGGUGCAUGUGCAUUUCAGCGGCUGGCAAUUACUAAGUCACAGCAUUUUUAAUUGGAAAUAUAUUGGCAUUCUAUCAUUGUUUGCCGAGUAAAAACCCUAAAACGCACUGUGAAGAUUAUUGUUGGAGAUACCUUAAUUAAAGGACUGCAGUGGCUCAAGAAGGCAGCUUACCACUAAGGGGUGUGCAUUGAAUGCUGGCCCUGCUUGGAUUGCCUACAUCCUGGAAAUUAAUUAUAUAAAUAUAAAGAUAUCACAUUUUAUUCACACUUUCUUAUUUGUGAAUCAUAAAACGGCUUGUUAAAAAUCCUAAAACAACUGUUUUAUCUUAAAUCCUAAAUGUUAAAUCCUAAAACAAUCUUGUGAAGAUAUUCAUUUUUCAAAUAUCAACCACUCCUCGCUUAUCUAUAUCUUCAAAAUAUUGGCCACUUUUCAUUCAUGAGAACAAGAUCCUCCUUUGCCUUAGUCUUUCAAUCACUCAUUCACUCUUUUUCACCAUGGUUACAAUAGAUUACAAAUUACAAAAUAUCCACAUGGGUAAUUAUUAAAUUUUAUGAAUCGUAUAUUCUGUUCAGAUGUCAGAGUCUCCGCGCAGCACUUUUACAUUCGUUAAGAGCUGGAGGGAAGGCAAGAUAUUGGCAUAGCAGUUGUGUUCAUAACCUGCUAUGCCUACAUACUGCCAUCUUUCCUGUCUGAGUGCAGCCAAGGCGUGCAGUUUUCAGUCUCUGCAAGAACCUGGUCAUCAAUAAUAACCUCAUCACUUCCAGACUUUUUUAACGGAAAAUGGGCAAUGAAAUAGGAGAUUGUGAAACAUAACACUGAAUAUUCCUAUAUUCUUGAAUGCGACCAAAUUCACGGGGUUGCUUAGAGUACAUGCUGUAAAAGUUUACUUUGCAUUAUAUAGUCUUACAAACAAUUAAACUCCAUUCCAUAACAAUGAAA